rnacentral:lncRNA from 1 species
AAAAGAGCCAACUAUCAGGUCCAUCGUCUACCUAAUAUCUUUGACUUCCAUGUUCUCACCAGGCUACAAUCUAACGAUGGUGAUGGUUCAUGCAGGGUAGGGUCCAAAGUAGAUGCUGCUGGUCCCGUAUGUGGAGCAUUGACAAUUCUAAAACCUACUACAGGACUGCUGGAGAGAGAUUUAUCUGUCCGAAGUCGCCGAGGUCAUUCUAGGUUAUGCAUCUCCACUCUUAUUAUAAGUAGACGCGCAAAGCCAAUCUGUUGAUUUAAGGUCGCUAGAUCACAAGUACCUAAAUUGGUUUGAUUUUUCCUUCUCAAUGAGAUAUGUUUGCAUGGUGAAUUGCUUUGUUUUCAUGCUGUAGAUGAUUCCCAGGUGGUUAUUCGGACAGCAUGCUGCCACUCCAGAAGAACUAAGAUAUGUUGCUGUUCCCAAGUCUCAACAGCGACCACGGCCUCUUCUGCCAUGCAAACUUGGUCGGGUGUCUC